UACGUAGGGGGCGAGCGUUGUCCGGAUUUAUUGGGCGUAAAGAGCUCGUAGGCGGCUCAGAAAGUCGGGUGUGAAACCUCCAGGCUCAACCUGGAGACGCCACCUGAUACUGCUGUGGCUAGAGUCCGGUAGGGGAACACGGAGUUCCCGGUGUAGCGGUGAAAUGCUUAGAUAUCGGGAGGAACACCAGUGGCGAAGGCGGUGUUCUGGGCCGGAACUGACGCUGAGGAGCGAAAGCGUGGGUAGCAAACAGG
rnacentral:rRNA from 1 species